GAAAGGACUGCUAAUACCGAAUGUUGGUGGAACUUCCGCAGUGGGAACUCCACUAAAGAUGGCCUCUACUUGUAAGCUAUCGCUUUGCGAUGGGUCUGCGUCUGAUUAGCUAGUUGGUGGGGCAACGGCCUACCAAGGCGACGAUCAGUAGCCGGUCUGAGAGGAUGAACGGCCACAUUGGAACUGAGACACGGUCCAGACUCCUACGGGAGGCAGCAGUGGGGAAUCUUCCGCAAUGGGCGAAAGCCUGACGGAGCAACGCCGCGUGAGUGAAGAAGGUCUUCGGAUCGUAAAGCUCUGUUGUCGGGGACGAAUGUUGAGGCCUAGAACAUAGGUUUCAAAUGACGGUACCUGACGAGGAAGCCACGGCUAACUACGUG
rnacentral:rRNA from 1 species